GCGUGUGUGAAGAAGGCCUUAGUGGUUGUAAAGCACUUUACUGCGACGAGGAGGUACUUAGUUAAUACCCUAUAGAUAGUGGACGUUACUCGCAGAAUAAGCACCAGGCUAACUCUGUGCCAGCAGCCGCGGUAAUACAGAGGGUGCGAGCGUUAAUCGGAUUUACUGGGCGUAAAGCGUGCGUAGGCGGCUUAUUAAGUCGGAUGUGAAAUCCCCGAGCUUAACUUGGGAAUUGCAUUCGAUACUGGUGAGCUAGAGUAUGGGAGAGGAUGGUAGAAUUCCAGGUGUAGCGGUGAAAUGCGUAGAGAUCUGGAGGAAUACCGAUGGCGAAGGCAGCCAUCUGGCCUAAUACUGACGCUGAGGUACGAAAGCAUGGGGAGCAAACAGGAUUAGAUACCCUGGUAGUCCAUGCCGUAAACGAUGUCUACUAGCCGUUGGGGCCUUUGAGGCUUUAGUGGCGCAGCUAACGCGAUAAGUAGACCGCCUGGGGAGUACGGUCGCAAGACUAAAACUCAAAUGAAUUGACGGGGGCCCGCACAAGCGGUGGAGCAUGUGGUUUAAUUCGAUGGCACGCGAAGAACUUACUGGCCUUGACUCUAGAACUUCCAGAGAUGGUGGUGCUUCGGGAUCUAGAUCGGUGCUCUGGCUGUCGCAGCUCGUGUCGGGAGAGUGGGUUAAGUCCGCAU
rnacentral:rRNA from 1 species